rnacentral:rRNA from 1 species
ACUAUUGGAAACGAUAGCUAAUACCGCAUGAAAUGGAUUAUCGCAUGAUAAUUCAUUGAAAGGUGCAAAUGCAUCACUACCAGAUGGACCUGCGUUGUAUUAGCUAGUUGGUGGGGUAACGGCUCACCAAGGCGACGAUACAUAGCCGACCUGAGAGGGUGAUCGGCCACACUGGGACUGAGACACGGCCCAGACUCCUACGGGAGGCAGCAGUAGGGAAUCUUCGGCAAUGGACGGAAGUCUGACCGAGCAACGCCGCGUGAGUGAAGAAGGUUUUCGGAUCGUAAAGCUCUGUUGUAAGAGAAGAACGAGUGUGAGAGUGGAAAGUUCACACUGUGACGGUAUCUUACCAGAAAGGACGGCUA